AGUGAACGCUGGCGGUAGGCCUAACACAUGCAAGUCGAACGGCAGCACAGGAGAGCUUGCUCUCUGGGUGGCGAGUGGCGGACAGGUGAGGAAUACAUCGGAAUCUACUUUUUCGUGGGGGAUAACGUAGGGAAACUUACGCUAAUACCGCAUACGACCUACGGGUGAAAGCAGGGGAUCUUCGGACCUUGCGCGAUUGAAUGAGCCGAUGUCGGAUUAGCUAGUUGGCGGGGGAAAGGCCCACCAAGGCGACGAGCCGUAGCUGGUCUGAGAGGAUGAUCAGCCAAACUGGAACUGAGACACGGUCCAGACUCCUACGGGAGGCAGCAGUGGGGAAUAUUGGACAAUGGGCGCAAGCCUGAUUCAGCCAUACCGCGUGGGUGAAGAAGGCCUUCGGGUUGUAAAGCCCUUUUGUUGGGAAAGAAAUCCAGCUGGUUAAUACCCGGUUGGGAUGACGGUACCCAAAGAAUAAGCACCGGCUAACUUCGUGCCAGCAGCCGCCGUAA
rnacentral:rRNA from 1 species